rnacentral:ncRNA from 13 species
GAAUGAAGAACCCAACCUUAUCUGAGGUUAUGAUGACAGGUUGUUCGUCAGAUCGAUGUGAG